GAUGAACGCUGGCGGCGUGCCUAAUACAUGCAAGUCGAGCGAACAGACGAGGAGCUUGCUCCUCUGACGUUAGCGGCGGACGGGUGAGUAACACGUGGAUAACCUACCUAUAAGACUGGGAUAACUUCGGGAAACCGGCGCUAAUACCGUAUAAUAUAUUGAACCGCAUGGUUCAAUAGUGAAAGACGGUUUUGCUGUCACUUAUAGAUGGAUCCGCGCCGCAUUAGCUAGUUGGUAAGGUAACGGCUUACCACGGCAACGAUGCGUAGCCGACCUGAGAGGGUGAUCGGCCACACUGGAACUGAGACACGGUCAAGACUCCUACGGGAGGCAGCAGUAGGGAAUCUUCCGCAAUGGGCGAAAGCCUGACGGAGCAACGCCGCGUGAGUGAUGAAGGUCUUCGGAUCGUAAAACUCUGUUAUUAGGGAAGAACAAAUGUGGAAGUAACUAUGCACGUCUUGACGGUACCUAAUCAGAAAGCCACGGCUAACUACGUG
rnacentral:rRNA from 1 species